rnacentral:ncRNA from 1 species
CAACCCCGCCCGGUAAAGGUUAGCCACCGACCGGAAGCGAGUCUUGCGUGGUGGCCGGGUAACCGGCGCUGCGAAGCGUAGACAGCGAGCGUAUAGGCCGUGUGAUUGAGCCUCGAAAUGUCCGCAGCGUGGAAGCCGACGCCCUAUAAAUGGCGGAAGGCUGCAUGGAGAUGCUGCAAUGGCUUGGCAUUGAAGUUCCACCGGGGUCAGAGAGCA